UUGGAGGGCAAGUCUGGUGCCAGCAGCCGCGGUAAUUCCAGCUCCAAUAGCGUAUAUUAAAGUUGUUGCAGUUAAAAAGCUCGUAGUUGAAUUUCGGGAUCAAUUAGUCGGUCGUGCCUCUGGUACGUACUGGUUUUAUUGGUUCCUCCCUUCUGACGAAACAUGAUGUCAUUAAUUUGGUGUCGUGGAGAAUCAGGACUGUUACCUUGAAAAAAUUAGAGUGUUUAUAGCAGGCUAACGCUUGAAUACAUUAGCAUGGAAUAAUGAAAUAGGACGUUCGACCCUAUUUUGUUGGUUUCUAGGAUCGACGUAAUGAUUAAUAGGGAUAGUUGGGGGCAUUAGUAUUCAAUUGUCAGAGGUGAAAUUCUUGGAUUUAUUGAAGACUAACUACUGCGAAAGCAUUUGCCAAGGAUGUUUUCAUUAAUCAAGAACGAAAGUUAGGGGAUCGAAGACGAUCAGAUACCGUCGUAGUCUUAACCAUAAACUAUGCCGACUAGGGAUCGGAUGAUGUUAAUUUUUUAAUGACUCAUUCGGCGCCUUACGGGAAAC
rnacentral:rRNA from 1 species